rnacentral:tRNA from 1 species
AAGAGAAAAGUAAGAAGCUGCUAACUAUCUUUAAAACAUUAAAAUGUAAUUCUCUUA